AUGCGGACUCCCUUUGCCUCUCAGCAUCCCUUCCUUCUUCAUCUGCAUAUAUAUUAUCUUGAUCCCUUUUAUCCCAGUAGAUCUACUGCCUUUGGUGGGGCUGACUGGAACGCUGCGGACUGUGACCAGUCUCUUAAAAAGAAGAACAAAAAGAGGAAGACCCUGAGUGGAUCCUCGGACAAAGCGCUUUGGGCUCGGCGUGAAGGGACGCGCGGGAGAGCUGGCAGGGGAGAACGAGUGGUCCCCCGUGCCGAAGGGCGCCCGCCGGGCGUGCGGACCUCUGAGGCUAUUCGUCUUGAAUUUUUUUCAGCCUUUUGGGACCCAGCGCAUUAGACAAGAGUGACCUUUUAAAUCUGUGCCCACGCUUUACCUGGUAAAGCCCAUUGACACUUUGGGGUGGGGUAGGGUGGGGUGAGAUGGGUAGAGUGGUUGGGGUGUUUUGAAGACAUAUAUAUACAGAUAUAUAUUCAUUCUUCUGUCUCUCCCCCUCUCCCUCUCUCCCUCUCUCCCCUUCCCUCCCUCUCUUCUCCUCCCUCUCUCCCUCCCUUUCCUCUGUCUCCUCCUCCCUCUCUAUGCCCCCCCUCACUCUUUCUCUUCCUC
rnacentral:lncRNA from 1 species